CACCUUAGAGGACACCAACAGGGGACCGAUUACAAGACUAGAGGAAAUAAUGCAGCAGACCUAGAAGCUAAGCAAGCUGCCCUCAGGGAAUUGGUCCUGAGGCAGGAGAGGCAGGAAGAAUUGACACAUGAUGAGGCCCCUUCGUUUACUCCGAAGGAGGAACAAAAACUUAAUCAAAUGGGAAUAACAAAAAACGCAGAAGGGAAGUGGCACUUAGCUGAUGGGAGAGAGGUACUGCCUAAGUCAAUAGCAUCUCAGGUGCUGACCCAGUUGCACGAACGGACCCACUGGGGAAGCCAAGCUUUAAUAGAUCAUUUUGCCACUAAGCCAUUUUCUAGAGUCCAAAUUGACUUUACCGAAUUUCCUAAAGUAGGAAGAUAUAAAUAUGUAUUAGUCAUAAUAGACCACCUCACACAUUAUGUAGAGGCAUUCCCCACAACUAAAGCAACAGCUCAGGUAGUAACAAAAAUAUUACUCGAACAAAUCAUCCCUAGGUAUGGGGUAACAGAAGUAAUAGAUUCAGAUCAAGGACCACACUUUACAUCAAGAAUCACUAGAAAUAUAGCUGAAGCCUUGGGAAUAAAAUGGGAAGAACAUACUCCCUGGCACCCACAGAGUUCAGGGCGAGUAGAGAGAAUGAAUGGAGAACUAAA